rnacentral:rRNA from 1 species
GUAGGUGGCAAGCGUUGUCCGGAAUUAUUGGGCGUAAAGCGCGCGCAGGCGGUCCUUUAAGUCUGAUGUGAAAGCCCACGGCUCAACCGUGGAGGGUCAUUGGAAACUGGGGGACUUGAGUACAGAAGAGGAAAGCGGAAUUCCAAGAGUAGCGGUGAAAUGCGUAGAGAUUUGGAGGAACACCAGUGGCGAAGGCGGCUUUCUGGUCUGUAACUGACGCUGAGGCGCGAAAGCGUGGGGAGCAAACAGGGAUUAGAUACCCUGGUAGUCCACGCCGUAAACGAUGAGUGCUAAGUGUUAGGGGGUUUCCCGCCCCUUAGUGCUGCAGCUAACGCAUUAAGCACUCCGCUGGGGAUACGGCCGCAAGGCUG